AGCCACGCGGUGAGCACAGAGCGAACUAUUCUUUCGCCUUUUACUAAAGAAUACCGUGUGCACGCCGCAAAUAGUGGCAUACGCCUAUUUUUGGAGGGGUUUCUCCUAAAGGGAAGCU